UCCUCCACUCAGCUCCUUCAGAGUAGCCAGCAGCAACCAGCAAACACCUGGGGAACUAUAGGAGGUACUUCUCA